rnacentral:rRNA from 1 species
UACGGAGGAUCCGAGCGUUAUCCGGAUUUACUGGGCGUAAAGGGAGCGUAGGCGGCCUGCCAAGUCUGAUGUGAAAUACCGGGGCUCAACCCCGGGGCUGCAUUGGAAACUGGCAGGCUGGAGUGCCGGAGAGGCAGGCGGAAUUCCUAGUGUAGCGGUGAAAUGCGUAGAUAUUAGGAGGAACACCAGUGGCGAAGGCGGCCUGCUGGACGGUGACUGACGCUGAGGCUCGAAAGCGUGGGGAGCAAACAGG